GUGUCAGCAGCCGCGGUAAUACGGAGGGGGCUAGCGUUGUUCGGAAUUACUGGGCGUAAAGGGCGCGCAGGCGGCUGCUCAAGUCAGGCGUGAAAGGCCUGGGCUCAACCCGGGAAUUGCGCUUGAGACUGGGCUGGCUUGAGUGCGGGAGAGGAUGGUGGAAUUCCCAGUGUAGAGGUGAAAUUCGUAGAUAUUGGGAAGAACACCGGUGGCGAAGGCGGCCAUCUGGACCGCAACUGACGCUGAGGCGCGAAAGCGUGGGGAGCAAACAGGAUUAGAUACCCUGGUAGUCCACGCCGUAAACGAUGAGUGCUAGACGUUGGGGAGCCUAGCUUUCCGGUGUCGCAGCUAACGCAUUAAGCACUCCGCCUGGGGAGUACGGCCGCAAGGUUAAA
rnacentral:rRNA from 1 species